rnacentral:rRNA from 1 species
CCUANGGGUGGCUGCAGUCGAGAAUCUUUCGCAAUGCCCGAAAGGGUGACGAAGCGACGCCGCGUGUGGGAAGAAGGCCUUCGGGUUGUAAACCACUGUCGGGAGUUAAGAAAUGUAAGGGUGUUAAUAGCGCCCUUGCUUGACUAAGGCUCCGGAGGAAGCUACGGCUAACUCUGUGCCAGCAGCCGCGGUAAUACAGAGGUGGCAAGCGUUGUUCGGAAUUAUUGGGCGUAAAGAGCACGUAGGCGGCCUUGAAAGUCAGUUGUGAAAUCCUUCCGCUUAACGGAAGAACUGCAUCUGAUACUCCAGGGCUCGAGUGCGGGAGGGGAGAGUGGAACUUCUGGUGGAGCGGUGAAAUGCGUAGAUAUCAGAAGGAACGCCGGCGGCGAAAGCGGCUCUCUGGUCCGUAACUGACGCUGAGUGUGCGAAAGCUAGGGGAUCAAACGGGAUUAGAUACCCCANUANUC